rnacentral:tRNA from 2 species
ACGUGUCAGAUACAAUGUAUUAAAUUUAAGAUUUAAUUAUGAAUUCAAGUUCCUUUAGUA